rnacentral:rRNA from 1 species
UACGAAGGGGACUAGCGUUGUUCGGAAUUACUGGGCGUAAAGCGCACGUAGGCGGAUUUGUAAGUCAGGGGUGAAAUCCCGGGGCUCAACCUCGGAACUGCCUUUGAUACUGCAAGUCUCGAGUCCGAUAGAGGCGAGUGGAAUUCCGAGUGUAGAGGUGAAAUUCGUAGAUAUUCGGAAGAACACCAGUGGCGAAGGCGACUCGCUGGACAAGUAUUGACGCUGAGGUGCGAAAGCGUGGGGAGCAAACAGG